UGUUGUAGGACGUGCGUGGCCACUGUGAACUUAGGUUUUAAGAGCCUAAGCGGCUUUUUUGGGCAAAAUGUGAUCUUACUGGAUUUUCGAGGUUCCGGUGAUCUACAUUUGGACCCAGCAUCAUGCGCAAAACUUGUCUGAAUCCUACAUGGUUCAAAUAAAUCUGGCAAUAUCACACAGCUGCUACAGUUAAACUCAAAAAGAAUUUAUCCCCAAAC